GACGAACGCUGGCGGCGUGCUUAACACAUGCAAGUCGAGCGAGUUGAUUCCCUUCGGGGAUGAAGCUAGCGGCGGACGGGUGAGUAACACGUGGGCAACCUGCCUUAUAGAGGGGGAUAGCCUUCCGAAAGGAAGAUUAAUACCGCAUAACAUCAGAUUAUCGCAUGGUAGACUGAUCAAAGGAGCAAUCCGCUAUAAGAUGGGCCCGCGUCGCAUUAGCUAGUUGGUGAGGUAACGGCUCACCAAGGCGACGAUGCGUAGCCGACCUGAGAGGGUGAUCGGCCACAUUGGGACUGAGACACGGCCCAGACUCCUACGGGAGGCAGCAGUGGGGAAUAUUGCACAAUGGGGGAAACCCUGAUGCAGCAACGCCGCGUGAGUGGUGAAGGCCUUCGGGUUGUAAAGCUCUUUGAUCAGGGACGAUAAUGACGGUACCUGAAGAACAAGCCACGGCUAACUACGUGCCAGCAGCCGCAGUAAGAC
rnacentral:rRNA from 1 species